rnacentral:lncRNA from 1 species
GCCUAAAAUAUUUUCUCGAUCCACAGAAAAGAAAGAUAUACAAUUUCCUCCAGAGCGAUAUCAUUUCAGCAAGAUGUGCUACAAUUUCCUUUGACAAGUCUGUCCAUAUACCAGAUGGAUUUCAAACGUCAACACAGAUUCUAUUGCAGACAGCUUUUUGAUGAAAGGUAGGAUUCUGGGUCUACUCUCCCUAUCAGUACUGGAACGCCAUGUGGCAUGAACUUGUGCAAGCUUUGAACAUACUACCAUAGUUUCUGUGAGUUCAUAUGUGCAUUGUGAAAACAGAAUUUUCUGACAUUUUCUUCCCAGAAUUCAACAAAAGACGUUUCACACUUCUGCAGAAACACAGCUUUUGUCCUUGGUGGAUCCAACAUUAUUCCUCAUGAUAUGUACAUAUCACACACCUCCCCUUAGGACCAGAAGACUUUACAAAAGAGGGGAAGGAUAGAAUGUAAGAACCAUACGUGAAUGAUGACUUCAAGAAAACAGUAUUUUCUGGACCCAACAAUAUGGUCACACAUAUGAAGCCACAGAGCUUGUAAUGGCAUACACAAGAUUUGCACAAGCUGAAGAUCAGCCAAAACUCCCAGCAUGGAAGUGGCCACAAAAUUCCACGACAAGCUGAAGAGCUAUUAACAUUGGGACAGCUGCUAGGAGAAGGAGGGUUUUCUUGAAGAAGUUAUCCCUGAAACUGGAAUUGCUUGAAAGAAACAAAAGAAAAAAUUCAAGUCAAGUUCAGUAGGGGGGGGUAGAGGUGGUAUGAGUGGAUCGGAGUGGAGUGGAGUGUGGGGGAGAGUCAAUGUGAU